rnacentral:rRNA from 1 species
AACCUCCGCAAUGUGAGAAAUCGCGACGGGGGGAUCCCAAGUGCCAUUCUUAACGGGAUGGCUUUUCAUUAGUGUAAAGAGCUUUUGGAAUAAGGGCUGGGCAAGACCGGUGCCAGCCGCCGCGGUAACACCGGCAGCUCUAGUGGUAGCAGUUUUUAUUGGGCCUAAAGCGUCCGUAGCCGGUUUAAUAAGUCUCUGGUGAAAUCCUGUAGCUUAACUGUGGGAAUUGCUGGAGAUACUAUUAGACUUGAGACCGGGAGAGGUUAGAGGUACUCCCAGGGUAGAGGUGAAAUUCUGUAAUCCUGGGAGGACCGCCUGUUGCGAAGGCGUCUAACUGGAACGGUUCUGACGGUGAGGGACGAAAGUUAGGGGCGCGAACCGGAUUAGAUACCCGGGUAGUCCUAACUGUAAACGAUGCGGACUUGGUGUUGGGGUGGCUUUGAGCUGCUCCAGUGCCGAAGGGAAGCUGUUAAGUCCGCCGCCUGGGAAGUACGUCGCAAGACUGAAACUUAAAGGAAUU